GCCCCCUUCAAGAGCUAAGCCAAUGCGAGUGCCGGAGAUAAGCGCCGGAUGGGGAGCAGUAU
rnacentral:sRNA from 1 species